ACAUCACCAAGAUCCUGAUUAGAUGUGUUUGAUUUUUUUGUUGAAUAGUUUGUACGUGAGUUUGUAUCUGCUGUAUUUGGAAAUGUUGCCACAGCUCUGGAGCGCGACAGAAAGCUGAGGCGCCACCACAGCAGCGCCAGAACGCCAAAACUCACUGACACACAUUCAUGCAGCUCCACCGAGCGCACAGCUGGAUGUGCGUCGGAAUGACCGUUGAGCAUCUGUGUGUGAUUCUCAUGUAAAACUGCUGACUGUGGAACGUGGAAACAUCUGCCUACUUUCACUUCUGGUUUUCAGGGAUCGACUCGCACGGAAUUAUGGGAUGCGGACGGACAUUUGCAAGUCAGCGAAAACUCAGUGCUUCCUUCUGGCCUUUCUGGAUGUUUGCACGGACCCUCGUGUCCACCUGCUGACGACACUCGCUCAGGCCCAAGUGGACUUUUAAAGUGUGGCAACAACAGCAGCAGACUCAGUGCUGACAGACAUUUCUUUAUGGCUGAAUCAUUUUUCCUUCUUAAUGAUGCUCGAUUCCCACAAAUAAAAAACCAAUAUCCUC
ensembl:lncRNA